UACGUAGGGGGCGAGCGUUGUCCGGAUUUAUUGGGCGUAAAGAGCUCGUAGGCGGUUUGGUAAGUUGGAUGUGAAAUCUCCAGGCUCAACUUGGAGGGGUCAUUCGAUACUGCCAUGACUAGAGUUCGGUAGGGGAGUGUGGAAUUCCUGGUGUAGCGGUGAAAUGCGCAGAUAUCAGGAGGAACACCGGUGGCGAAGGCGGUUCUCUGGGCAUUACCUGACGCUGAGGAGCGAAAGUGUGGGGAGCGAACAGG
rnacentral:rRNA from 1 species